rnacentral:lncRNA from 1 species
UGUGUGCCUUGGCCUUAUGCCAAUAGGAUAUGUAGUUAGACUAGAUCUAUGUAUUCAUAUCCUUACCAUAUUGGUAUUGUGUAAUUCCCUAUAUAAAGGGCUCCUAUCAAUGAAUAAGAUGACUCUCUUGCUAUCUCUUUGUCUCUACACUUUAUUCUUCAUCACGUUAUCAUGCACUUUGUUCUAACCCUAGAGCCAAUAGCCCACCAUUUUUUUUCCAAACCCUAAAAACCAAAACCCUAAAAUCGGGCAGCCUUGUUUUUCCCGAUUUCUGACCAAAAUUCCGACUGCCCUCCGCCGGACUUUUAUAUCCCCAGAAAGCUCUUUCCGUCACGGAUCCAACGCCGCCGGCCUCACCCUGAGAACCGGCCGGAAAGUCUCCGAACCGGCCGCCGGAAAAUUCCAGACCGCCGCCGCUACCGACCACCGGUUCACCACCUUCCCUUGCUCCGAUCAACCUGAAAUUUUGACAGAAGCUUCCCCAUCCAGAGCUGCUCCUCCUGUCAAAUUUUCAGCCCCAAAUUCGAAGUAUAAGUAGGCGAAACGUUAUUUCUCCUCUCGGCAGCCUUUAGAAAGGUAUGUUUUGAAACCUUAAACUCUUCCAAGUUCAAUAACUCGGGGAGGAUAAAAUCCUUUCCUCCCUUCUCCAUCUCCAUUCUAUGCUUGGGAUUUUGUGUGUGCAGGUACCAAAAAUCCCGGAAUUUUAUUCGCGGGUCAAAAGUAUGUUGGAUCACUCUUGUUUCUUUGUCCGGGUUGUGUUUGAUCAACCCCGACCUUUCACCGGAUUGUGUUUGAUCAAUCCGAGGCCUUUUUCCGAAUUGUGUUUGAUCAAUUCGCGGCUUUUCCGGAUUGUGUAUGAUCAAUCCGAAGGACAAACCAUUAAAAGCAUCGUUUGUAACCUCUAUCGAGUCUCAUAACAGCUUGGUUUUGUAUGCAAGAGCAAUGUAACAUUCUGCUCCUUUGAGUUUUGAUGUACUAGAUGCCUAAGGCGGAUCUUCGCUUGGUAUCUGUGGAACCUUUCAUUGGAAAGGAUUAAACCACAUGUUUUGACCCCCAGGCUAACAAGCCUAAAUGCCGAGAUUUCACAUCUCAUGCGCUCAAAGUUUU